rnacentral:rRNA from 1 species
UUGAAAUCGCUUCGGCGAGUUGUAAGUAAAGUGGUUAGACGCUUUUUAAUAAGUCCCUUGGAACAGGGCGCCAUAGAGGGUGAUAGCCCCGUAUUAAAUUGUCUAGUGUGCUACUUUAGAGCGAGUCGAGUUGUUUGGGAAUGCAGCUCAAAUAGGUGGUAAACUCCAUCUAAAGCUAAAUAUUGCUGGGAGACCGAUAGCGAACAAGUACAGUGAUGGAAAGAUGAAAAGCACUUUGAAAAGAGAGUGAAAUAGCGUGUGAAAUUGUUGGAGGGGAAGGCGAUGGUAGGAAUAAGAGGCUGCGGUUUGAAAUAAAUGUUUUUCGGGCCACGGUCUCCUGAGCCUGCUUUCGCACCCGUCUUGA